rnacentral:tRNA from 1 species
GCCAGUGUGGCAUAAUGGUUUGAGCACUAGACUAUGACUCUGGAGACCAGGGUUCGAUUCCCUGCUCGGGCA